GGGUCACCAAAUCAACCCUGAGUGAAUUUAAUUAUGGACCGUUCGAGUUACACCGCGGACCGUUCUGUCCACUGACCGUCCGAGCCACAUUGUUGUACUGUCCGAAUGUGACCAUGUGUCAAAUUUGAUGCUCAACACCGCCGAAUCGUCGCGAUGGAAAGAAUUUGUUACUUUCUAGAUUCUAAAUCCUAUGGAUACACUCUAUUUUCCUCCGCAUGUAAGUUCCGUGAUUCUCUAGAAACCUAGAUUUUUAGAAAAACUUGUCAGACAAAAGCUGAAUUAAACAUGCCAUAAAUGGUUCGUUGAGCAGGAGAGUGUGAUUUCACUGCCACUCCUCUCCUCAAUUGCGAGAAUGUGAGAUGUAUGAUUUUCGGCUGGUUCAUGGUAAUUUCGAAAGACCAAGCGUCACUUUUUCAUAUCGCUGGUUUUGUGUGUCGGGUUCAUUAUUGCCCGAAAAAUGCGAAUGUUGUUGCUAUCGACAGCAGCUGCGAAGAAUGAAGAUGUACCGGUGAACUUUCUAAUAGCCAACAUCCUGACUACGCAAAUUGCUUCAAAAAAAAAAAAUCGAUGCAGCAGCAAGCACUAGUAGGUGCGAGGACUACUGCACCAAAUGAUAGAACGCAUGCAGCACGCAACGUUUCCCGCUGUGCAACGUCGUCGUCGAUCGAAAUCGAAAGCAUGGAAAGGAGUACGUGCACGUCCUUGCACGAGCACGGCCGUCUCCCCUUUACCGCUGUCGGGCACAUCAGACUGCAGGACCAUCGCACAGUGCAAUUCAUUCAGUUUCCCGAGCAACGAGGAGAGCUAGCGGAGCAUGGCCGUCGUCGUCGUCCAUAGCCUGCACUGCUGCAAAGGCCGAAGAGAUUGAUGAAAAGCUUGCGUGCAAGUGCAAAAGGCACACGCAAAGGCAGCUGCGUCGAAUCCGGUUCAGACAGGCCCGUCAGGCUGGCCGUCAACUCGCAGGUCAGUCAGGCUGAGCCACUGCAGUACUGCACUGCACUGCAUGCGUGCACCGAUCGCCAUGCGUGUCUCCCGGGGGGCGAUAGCUUUAAGCUUACGGAGAGCCAGCCAUGGCGCAUGGUCCAUGGAAGGAAGGAAGAAGCCGGCCGGGAUUCGCUGACAGGGUUUACACAUCCACGAGGCACGAGCAAGAACCACUGCUGCACUGCGUUUCUGGCUUUCUGCGCGUCGUUGCCUUCAAACAAAGUUCAGAAACGUACUGCUAUCCAUUUCCAUGCACGCGAAGAGCUGCAGCAGUGAAGAAGCGGAAGUGGAGGAAAGCAGAAAAAAGGUUGAAGAGAAUGAGUGAUGUGACGGUGGUGUGUGUCCCUGGCGAUGGAGUGGAAGGAGUGGCAGUGCGUCAACUCUGACAAGCAGAGUCGUAGAGGCAGCGGCAGCCUGAUCGAGCGCUUGAUGGCUGUGCGUCGAGUCUGUCGGUCUACUCCGUGCCACCGCCGUGCCAGUGUGUCACCGGCUCAUCGCCCGCGUCGGAGCGGAAAGCGAUAGGGACGAUCUGACAGACAUGUCCUCCUAGCUUGCGGUUGCGGCAUUGACAGAUUGGCUAGGGCAAGCAAGGAAAGGAGUAUACUGCUACAUACUGCUAUACUGUGCUGAAGUGGUCACUGACUCACUGCUGAGUGCUCUGCUGGACCAGCAGACGCAACGCAAGCGCCACUGUCUGUCACUCGGCGUCACCCUGUCCGUCCCAGUCCCUGGUUCCUGUGCGCCUUGGCAGUGGUCUGUGGUCGGUCAACCUGGGCCUCCAUCUCCAUCCACCGGGUCCGGCGGCCCCUUUGGUUCUCAGAACUCAGCAGCCCAGGCCAUGCCUUUUACCUGUAGGCCCAAUGUUUUUUUAGGCUGCUUCGAGGUCUGGACCGUAGGGCCUGGGUGCAGGCACUAUUACUGGGCCUCCAAUUCUUUCGGCCUCUCAACUGAUCACUACACUGAUGGCCCGCCAACCGAAGACCAACUGCUCGCCGGUCGCCGCUUCCUUCCCUCGUCGACGAACUGGGACUGACCAGUGACCACCGAUCGGACUGACACAGCAGCGGUGGGGACUAGGGAGCUAGUAGAGUGUCGGCUCGGCGUCGGCAAUUGGCGCCGCGAGCCCUCCACUGCCGUCCCCGCACCAGCACCACCUCGCGCGGAGGCUGCUCGACGAAAUUCCCUCCCGCAGGGUGUCGCCCGCCUCCCCCGCGUGCUCGUUCCUCGCCAGGGGGCAGGGGGCUCCUCCGCGCUAGCUACGUCGAUGGACGACAUAUUCAGCGUUAAGUUUUGUGCUUCUGAUGUUGUCACCUUCACCACACUCAUAUCUGGAUACCUGUGUGUGUGUGUGCAGGUGAUCACGCAGAGGCCCUCGGUGUGCUGUGUCCUCAAGGGAUUGUUUGGCAUUGGACAAGUUGAUACAGCAAUGGUGCUGAUCCUGUGACUCAUACUGUGGUGAUCAAAGGGCUCUGCAGUGCAAGGCUGCUUGAGAAAGCAAAGGAAUUCUGGGACAGUACUGUCGUCUGGCCAUCAGGGAUACAUGAUGAUUAUGUGUACAGUGCAAUCUUCAGAGGUCUCUGCAAACAGAGGAAACUAGAACAGGCAUGUGAUUUCUUGUACGAAUUGGUGGAUUGUGGGGUUGCUCCCAGCGCAGUGUGCUACAACAUACUCAUAGACGCUGCCUGCAAGCAGGGACCGAAUAAGUUAGCAUAUUAGUUAAGGAGAUGAAAAGAAAUGAACUAGCACCUGAUGCUGUUACUUGGAGGAUUCUUAGCAAACUGCAUCACUAUGACGAGGAAGAACAAGAGGGGAACCAGCAUCAAACGUUUGGUGUCGAUCGAACUUCUAAAGAAGGUAGGGUGGAGCCUCUCGUCUGGACUAAAUAUAUGAUGCCUUUGCUGCCAUCAUCUGAAAAAUUUAGUGAAGCUAAUGAGGAUAAUAACACGGCUGAGUCUGAGGAAGAGAUUGACUAGUUACCAGAUAUGUCUAGUAAAUCAGAACCUGAGGAGGUUGGAUACUCGAAUACUCGAUUAAAAAAAUGACAGUGGAUGAAGCACCAGAUAAUACUAACCCAAUCAAAGCACAGGGAAAUUGUCUGAUGGAUAAUCCAACAAGGGGAACAGUAACUGACAAGGCUGAUAUAACUAGGGGAGAUGGCCUUAAGAACUCAGAUAAUCAACCUUCAGUGAUGUUGGCACCUUGAAGAGUGAAGACCUAUUCAAAAAAGUUUUGCAGGCCUUCAAAUUAUCUAGACAUUUAAAAUAGCUCCUCAGUAUUUCUUACCUUAUAGAAGUUUAUGUUGCUCGGAUAAAUUUGUAAGAAUAAAUGUCACCAAACUAAUACGGAUUUGAUUGACACCUGGUUUAUUUUUACAUGUUAGGUGGCGAUGAUGUAUAGGCCUUUGGUAGUCAAAAUACGAGACUACAGAUUAUAGAUAAGCUUUGUCUGCUCUGCAUCCAUAAUGCACAAAGCAGAAGGUUGUUGCGACAAGGUGCGCCUAUGAAUGUUGGAUUCGCUUACACUACAAGGUCUCUGCGCCACCAAAGGUACCAUGGUAGUAGCAGCGAUAAGAGAAGAAUCGGCUUCCAAAUUGUGUCCCAAGUCAGAUCGGCCGGCAUAGGUGGUGCUUGUGAGCUGAACUGGUAGUGUAGUCGCAGCCUUGUUCAAGAGACUGACAAACUGACGAAGGCUAUCAUCCACGGCCAAGUCCUCGCACCCAUCUGUGGACAACUGGAUGAUCCUUCAAUUUGUUUGCAGCCUUGCAGUACAGUAUCCUAUUUCGCGGAACCAAUAGCUCUGAACUACUUAGGACUUGUUUGGAAGCAACCUAGUUUUUAAGAAACCAGUUUUUAUUUUUUUUAGUUAUGAAAGGCCAGCUUUUUGGUUUUUAAUAAACCAAUAAUCUAAUUUAUAUAAACAGAGUCUUAAACUA